UUGCUCGACCUCCCCCAGGAGCGCCGGGCGCUGGAGCGGAAGGCGGCGGAGCUGGAGGAGGAGCUGAAGGCACUGCAGGACCUGAAGGCCGACAACCAGCGCCUGAAGGACGAGAACGCGGCGCUCAUCCGCGUCAUCAGCAAACUGUCCAAGUGACCCCCCCCCGCCGCCAAAGCCCUUCCCACCGCCACCCCAGCAACACUAGAGGAGACCCCCCCGGACCCCCCCAUUGUGCGCCAUGAGACCCCCUCCUCCCCCCCUAAUCGUCCCCCCAUGGGGCGUCCACAGCUGCCAAACCUCCCGCCCCCCUCCAAUGCCAAAAUAUGGGACCCCCACCCCACGCACCCCCACAAACAAUGCCCUAUGGGACCUGCCAGGGGGUGGGGCUAGUGCGGAGGGGGCGUGGCUAAUGAGGAGGGGGCGGUGCCCAUCACGGGGGGUGCCAAAGGGGCGUGGUCACGGGGCUUGGGCGUGGCCGGGAUAAGUUGGGGUGGGGCAUUGUGUAACCACGCCCCCUGCCAUCUUUAAUGAAUGCCAAAAGUGGGCGGGGCUACUGCACGCCAGCCCCGCCCCAGGGCUCGAGCAUGCCAAUCAUCGCGCUGCUGUCACUCAGGCCCCGCCCCCUCCCUCCCGCUCAGCCAAUGGGAGGGUGGCUGGGCCCCACUCCUCCUCCAAUGAGUAUUUUUGCAAAAAAAAAAAAAAAAGUGGAAGAAAAAGGAAAAAAAUAAUUAAAAGUGAAAAGCGACAA